GAUGAACGCUGGCGGCGUGCCUAAUACAUGCAAGUCGAGCGAACAGAUGAGGAGCUUGCUCCUCUGACGUUAGCGGCGGACGGGUGAGUAACACGUGGAUAACCUACCUAUAAGACUGGGAUAACUUCGGGAAACCGGAGCUAAUACCGGAUAAUAUAUUGAACCGCAUGGUUCAAUAGUGAAAGACGGUUUUGCUGUCACUUAUAGAUGGAUCCGCGCCGCAUUAGCUAGUUGGUAAGGUAACGGCUUACCAAGGCAACGAUGCGUAGCCGACCUGAGAGGGGGAUCGGCCACACUGGAACUGAGACACGGUCCAGACUCCUACGGGAGGCAGCAGUAGGGAAUCUUCCGCAAUGGGCGAAAGCCUGACGGAGCAACGCCGCGUGAGUGAUGAAGGUCUUCGGAUCGUAAAACUCUGUUAUUAGGGAAGAACAAAUGUGUAAGUAACUAUGCACGUCUUGACGGUACCUAAGCAGAAAGCCACGGCUAACUACGU
rnacentral:rRNA from 1 species